rnacentral:rRNA from 1 species
UACGAAGGGUGCAAGCGUUAAUCGGAAUUACUGGGCGUAAAGGGCGCGUAGGCGGCUCGUUAAGUCUGUCGUGAAAUCCCCGGGCUCAACCUGGGAAUGGCGAUGGAUACUGGCGAGCUAGAGUGUGUCAGAGGAUGGUGGAAUUCCCGGUGUAGCGGUGAAAUGCGUAGAGAUCGGGAGGAACAUCAGUGGCGAAGGCGGCCAUCUGGGACAACACUGACGCUGAAGCACGAAAGCGUGGGGAGCAAACAGG